rnacentral:lncRNA from 1 species
UACUAACAAGUUAUUUUUUAUCUUUGUAUUCCGAUACAAAACGACUUAGCUGAGGAAGAGCUAAACCAGUACCGUUUCCGUUAAGAAGUCAAAACGUUUGUGAUAAUUGGAUUAGUGGUAGUACAUCUCUGACAACUAAUGUAAAGUGUGAACGAUAGUGUUGUACUGUAUCAUUGGUUCACUUUGGGCAAUGGUAAUCAAGAGUGUAUCUAUGUUUCAGAAAAAUAGAGAAAGAGAGACAGAGAUAGAAAUUUUUUUCUCUCUAGAGUCUCUCCCCCAAAUACCUUUUAACCCUUGCGCCGCCAACAUCUGAUCUCUGUUCCGUUGGAGGAGAUCGACGGUAAGCUUGCUGUACUGGUCUUCUUCGCCACCCCAGCUUCUCUUGUCCUCUCUUUUGCCUCUCUCUAACAUCUUUCUCCUUUCCAUCUUCUCCAUAUGCUUUUCUCCUCUUGACUUCUCCGGUUCGCAAGUGACUUAACAACGGCAAGGCGGGCAUCCGUCAAACUGCUGGAAGAAAAGAGAGGUGUAGCAAGCCGAAGCGAUUGGUAGAGCCAGUAGUGUAAACUUUAUUUUACAUAAACCGCAAGAUCUUUAACAUUUAGACUAAUCACAUAAUAGAUUUAUAAGAAGGAUUUGUGGAUACCUCGAUUCAUGGUUGCGGAAAUUUUCUUGAACGGUUUUGAUCAUGGUUGAUAAUUUCUUGAUCUUUAAGUUGGAGUUAAGUCUUCUUUCCCUUUGCCUACAGCCUAUGUAUUUCCAUUUAU